rnacentral:rRNA from 1 species
UGAGUACGAGACGCUAAGGCGUUGAAGUAGUGGAUGUCAUACUUCCAAGAAAAGCUUGCACUGUCAUAAAUAAAGAAUGCCUGUACCAUAACCGACACAGGUGGGUAGGUAGAGUAUACUAAGGGGCGCGAGAUAACUCUCUCUAAGGAACUCGGCAAAAUGACUCCGUAACUUCGGGAGAAGGAGUGCCUUAUUCGUAAGGCUGCAAUAACAAGAUCCAAGCAACUGUUUAUCAAAAACACAGGUCUCCGCUAAGUCGUAAGACGAUGUAUGGGGGCUGACGCCUGCCCAGUGCCAGAAGGUUAAAGAAGUCGGUUAGCAUUAGCGAAGCUGGUAACUGAAGCCCUGGUGAACGGCGGCCGUAACAAUAACGGUCCUAAGGUAGCGAAAUUCCUUGUCGGGUAAGUUCCGACCCGCACGAAAGGCGUAAUGAUUUGGAUACUGUCUCGGAGAGGGGCUCGGUGAAAUAGACUUGUCUGUGAAGAUGCGGACUACCUGCACCAGGACAGAAAGACCCUAUGAAGCUUUACUGUAACUUGAAAUUGAAAUUGGACUUUAUUCGCGCAGUAUAGGUGGGAGGCGUUGAUUAUAAUCUUGCGGGAUUAUUGGAGCCAUCAGUGAGAUACCACUCUUGUAAUGUUAGAUUUCUAACUUUGAAUCAUUAUCUGGUCAAAGAACAGUUUCAGGCGGGCAGUUUGACUGGGGCGGUCGCCUCCUAAACGGUAACGGAGGCGUACAGAGGUUUCCUCUGAACGGGUAGAAAUCGUAUCUAGAGUGUAAAGGCAUAAGGAAGCUUGACUGUGAGACCUACAAGUCGAGCAGGGACGAAAGUCGGUCUUAGUGAUCUGACGGUACUGAGUGGAAAGGCCGUCACUCAACGGAUAAAAGUUACUCUAAGGAUAACAGGCUGAUCUCCCCCAAGAGUUCACAUCGACGGGGAGGUUUGGCACCUGGAUGUCGGCUCAUCGCAUCCUGGGGCGGUAGUACGUCCCAAGGGUUGGGCUGUCCGCCCAUGAAAGCGGUACGCGAGCUGGGUUCAGAACGUCGUGAGACAGUUCGGUCCAUAUCCGGUGUAGGCGUUAGAAUAUUGAGAGGAGCCUUCUUUAGUACGAGAGGACCGAGAAGGACAUACCUCUGGUGUACCAGUUAUCGUGCCAACGGUAAACGCUGGGUAGCUAUGUAUGGAGUGGAUAACCGCUGAAAGCAUCUAAGUGGGAAGCCCACCUCAAGAUAAG